rnacentral:rRNA from 1 species
GACGAACGCUGGCGGCGUGCUUAACACAUGCAAGUCGAACGGAAAGGCCCCUUUGGGGGUACUCGAGUGGCGAACGGGUGAGUAACACGUGAGUAACCUGCCCUUGACUUCGGGAUAACUUCAGGAAACUGGGGCUAAUACCGGAUAGGAAUCCUUGCUGCAUGGUGGGGGUUGGAAAGCUUCGGCGGUUUUGGAUGGACUCGCGGCUUAUCAGCUUGUUGGUGGGGUAGUGGCUUACCAAGGCUUUGACGGGUAGCCGGCCUGAGAGGGCGACCGGCCACAUUGGGACUGAGAUACGGCCCAGACUCCUACGGGAGGCAGCAGUGGAGAAUAUUGCACAAUGGGCGGAAGCCUGAUGCAGCAACGCCGCGUGCGGGAUGACGGCCUUCGGGUUGUAAACCGCUUUCAGCAGGGGCGAAGCUUGUGGUGACGGUACCUGCAGAAGAAGCACCGGCUAACUACGU